UACGUAGGUGGCAAGCGUUGUCCGGAUUUAUUGGGUUUAAAGGGUGCGUAGGCGGUUCCAUAAGUCAGUGGUGAAAUACGGCAGCUCAACUGUCGAGGUGCCAUUGAUACUGCGGAACUUGAGUGUUGAUGAGGCAGGCGGAAUUGACGGUGUAGCGGUGAAAUGCUUAGAUAUCGUCAAGAACACCGAUAGCGAAGGCAGCUUACUAGACUGUAACUGACGCUGAUGCACGAAAGUGUGGGGAUCAAACAGG
rnacentral:rRNA from 1 species